GUCGAACGGACUCAUAUUGAAACCUAGUGAUUUAUGAGUUAGUGGCGGACGGGUGAGUAACGCGUGGAUAACCUGCCGUAUACCGGGGGAUAACACUUAGAAAUAGGUGCUAAUACCGCAUAAGCGCACGGCUCCGCAUGGGGCAGUGUGAAAAACUCCGGUGGUAUACGAUGGAUCCGCGUCUGAUUAGCUAGUUGGCGGGGUAACGGCCCACCAAGGCAGCGAUCAGUAGCCGGCCUGAGAGGGUGGACGGCCACAUUGGGACUGAGACACGGCCCAAACUCCUACGGGAGGCAGCAGUGGGGAAUAUUGCACAAUGGGGGAAACCCUGAUGCAGCGACGCCGCGUGAGUGAAGAAGUAUCUCGGUACGUAAAGCUCUAUCAGCAGGGAAGAAAAUGACGGUACCUGACCAAGAAGCCCCGGCUAACUACGUGCCAGCAGCCGCGGUAAUACGUAGGGGGCAAGCGUUAUCCGGAUUUACUGGGUGUAAAGGGAGCGUAGACGGCAGCACAAGUCUGGAGUGAAAUCCCGGGGCUUAACCCCGGAACUGCUUUGGAAACUGUGCGGCUGGAGUGCAGGAGGGGUAAGCGGAAUUCCUAGUGUAGCGGUGAAAUGCGUAGAUAUUAGGAGGAACACCGGUGGCGAAGGCGGCUUACUGGACUGUAACUGACGUUGAGGCUCGAAAGCGUGGGGAGCAAACAGGAUUAGAUACCCUGGUAGUCCACGCCGUAAACGAUGAUUACUAGGUGUCGGGGGACCAAGGUCCUCCGGUGCCGGCGCAAACGCAUUAAGUAAUCCAC
rnacentral:rRNA from 1 species